UACGAAGGGGGCUAGCGUUGCUCGGAAUCACUGGGCGUAAAGGGUGCGUAGGUGGGUCUUUAAGUCAGAGGUGAAAUCCUGGAGCUCAACUCCAGAACUGCCUUUGAUACUGGGAGACUUGAGUCCGGGAGAGGUGAGUGGAACUGCGAGUGUAGAGGUGAAAUUCGUAGAUAUUCGCAAGAACACCAGUGGCGAAGGCGGCUCACUGGCCCGGUACUGACGCUGAGGCGCGAAAGCGUGGGGAGCAAACAGG
rnacentral:rRNA from 1 species